rnacentral:rRNA from 1 species
GACGAACGCUGGCGGCGUGCUUAACACAUGCAAGUCGAGCGGUAAGGCCCUUCGGGUACGACGAGCGGCGAACGGGUGAGUAACACGUGGGUGACCUGCCUCUAGCUCUGGGAGUAAGCCUGGGAAACGUGGGUCUAAUACCGGAUAUGACUCCACGGCGCAUGUUGUGGGGUGGAAAGCCUUGUGUGGCUAGAGAUGGGCCC